AGCGAACGCUGGCGGCGUGCCUAACACAUGCAAGUCGAACGUGAAAAGGGAAACCUGAGUACAGUGGCGUACGGGUGAGUAACGCGUAGGUAAUCUACCCCAGAAUCUGGAAUAACCUGCCGAAAGGCGGGCUAAUACUGGAUAGAGCGAGGGAACUCGUAAGAGAGUUUUUCGGGAAAGGGAGCCCGCAAGGGCCUUCGUUCUGGGAUGAGCCUGCGUCUCAUUAGCUAGUUGGUAAGGUAACGGCUUACCAAGGCGAUGAUGAGUAGCUGGUCUGAGAGGAUGAUCAGCCACACUGGAACUGAAACACGGUCCAGACUCCUACGGGAGGCAGCAGUGGGGAAUCUUGCGCAAUGGACGAAAGUCUGACGCAGCCACGCCGCGUGAGUGAAGAAGGCCUUCGGGUUGUAAAGCUCUGUCGGAUGGGACGAACAUCUUCAUAGUGAAUAGCUAUGAGGACUGACGGUACCAUCAAAGGAAGCACCGGCGAACUCCGU
rnacentral:rRNA from 1 species